GUGAAGAACGCAGCGAAAUGCGAUACGUAGUGUGAAUUGCAGAAUUCCGUGAACCAUCGAAUCUUUGAACGCAAAUUGCGCUCGAGGCCUCGGCUAAGAGCAUGUCUGGCUCAGCGUCGGCUUACUACCCUCAAUCAAUUACCUUGUGAUGAUUGGUUGGAGCUGGCUUUCCGGUGUUCCAAUCAGGUUGCCGGUCAGCUGAAAAACAUUCACGCUGUGGAAGUCGCUUUCCCUUCAAAAAGGAAAGCCGAGUUCCGAUUUGGUAGGUGACCUUUGCCGGUUGCAUGCCUUCGUUGCUCGUUUUGGCUUUCAUGAUAGCGUGUGCAGGACGCCAUUUUGGCUUUCGACCUGAGCUCAGGCAAGAACACCCGCUGAACUUAAGCAUAUCAAUAAGCGGAGGA
rnacentral:misc_RNA from 1 species